UACGUAGGGUGCAAGCGUUAAUCGGAAUUACUGGGCGUAAAGCGUGCGCAGGCGGUUUUGUAAGUCUGAUGUGAAAUCCCCGGGCUCAACCUGGGAAUUGCAUUGGAGACUGCAAGGCUAGAAUCUGGCAGAGGGGGGUAGAAUUCCACGUGUAGCAGUGAAAUGCGUAGAGAUGUGGAGGAACACCGAUGGCGAAGGCAGCCCCCUGGGUCAAGAUUGACGAUCAUGCACGAAAGCGUGGGGAGCAAACAGG
rnacentral:rRNA from 1 species